CUUGAGCACGGACUGCUCCUUCUCCUCCUCCUUCUUCUGCCGGUCCAUGACGGCCAGGAUGAUCUUCCGCUCCUCCUCCGUGAGGUGGCUCAGACGCGCACAAAAAUGGACGCGAUAAAAAUCACGCGAGGAGGGACGAGGAGGAGCCAAGCGCCGCGAGCGCGCCGCGGGGACCCAGCCGGGGCUUCCCCCGCUGCCAACAGGUGCGCGGGCCCGCCCGCCCGCCCGCCCGCGGCUGCAACAGGUGCCGCCCGAGGGCGACGGGACGGGACGGACGGGACGGGACUGCCCUGUACUCCUCCUCGCUUCGACUGUCCCGCCUCCCAGCAGCUCCCGCCCGGAGCAACAGGCAGGGGCCGCCGGGCCCGGCCCGGGGGGGGGCUCGGGAGACCUGCGGGCGCGGAAACCAGUCAUGAGGGAGGGGGAGGGGGGCUCACGCGCGAGCCCUUGUCCCCCCAAGAGGGCGAGGUCGCUCGGGAGUCUUUGUGGCCUCCUCUGCUCCCCCUCAGUCCCACGUGAAGAAGGAAGAUGGCCAAGGUAGCCCCUAGCCGCAGCCUGUGGCAACCAGGAAAGGGCCAGCUUUAGUCUGUGUCUCGGUUUUCAUUACGUCUAAUAAAAAACCCAUGUUCUUUCA